rnacentral:rRNA from 1 species
AUUGAACGCUGGCGGCAGGCCUAACACAUGCAAGUCGAGCGGAGCGGCGGACGGGUGAGUAAUGCCUAGGAAUCUGCCUGGUAGUGGGGGAUAACGUCCGGAAACGGGCGCUAAUACCGCAUACUAUCAGAUGAGCCUAGGUCGGAUUAGCUAGUUGGUGGGGUAAAGGCCUACCAAGGCGACGAUCCGUAACUGGUCUGAGAGGAUGAUCAGUCACACUGGAACUGUGGCACGGUCCAGACUGCUACGGGAGGAAGCAGUUGGGAAGAUUGGACGAUGGGCGAAAGGCUGAUCCAGCCAUGCCGCGUGAGUGAAGAAGGUCUGCGGAGUGUAAAGCACUUUAAGUUGUGAGGCGUGACCAACAGAAUAAGCACCGGCAGACUUCGUGCGAGCAGCCGCGGUAAUAC